rnacentral:rRNA from 1 species
AAUAGAUACCCAGGUAGUCUUGGCCAUAAACGAUGAUCACUAGGUGUUGGGGCUUUGCCUCGGUGCCGCAGCUAACGCAUUAAGUGAUCCGCCUGGGAACUACGAGCGCAAGCUUAAAACUCAAAGGAAUUGGCGGGGGCCCGCACAAGCGGUGGAGCAUAUGGCUUAAUUCGAUGCAACGCGAAGAACCUUACCAGGGCUUGACAUGUAUCUGCAAGCACCCGAAACGGUGUCGCCUUCGAGGGUGAUACACAGGUGGUGCAUGGCUGUCGUCAGCUCGUGUUGUGAAAUGUUGGGUUAAGUCCCGCAACGAGCGCAACCCUCAUGUUCUGUUACCAGCGAGUAAUGUCGGGGACUCGGAACAAACUGCCUCUGUAAAGAGGAGGAAGGUGGGGAUGACGUCAAGUCAUCAUGCCCCUUACGCCCUGGGCUGCACAUAUGCUACAAUGGCCGGUACAAAGAGCUGCCAACUCGCGAGAGUGCGCAAAUCUCAAAAAGCCGGUCUCAGGUUC